AGACAUGCUGAGCUGCUUCCCACCCUCCUCUCCCAGCCUCCUAGAGCUGAGGGUAGGAAUUCUGAAGCCCAGGAAUGAAGUCUUGACCCAGAGCUAUGUCCUUGACCAAGAGGAAGUCGGGUGAAACCCCAGAGCAACAUGGCUCCAAGGCCUGGGUCCAGGACGGAGUCACCUGACCACACACCUGCUCCAGAGAACAGUUCUACUCCUUCAGUUCCUGGUUACUUCUCAGUGCCUACCCUGAGCUGUCCAGCACUAGCUCUGAAGGCUGGGCAGUGAACAAGGAGAGGAAGGGGGUACUAAACAGGGAACACUUAAUGAAGUUAGCAGGGUGAAAAGUACACUUAACAGCCCUGCGAGGUAACGAUUAUUAUCCCCAUUUCACAGAUGGAGAAACUGAGACUUGGAGAAGUUGAGUUAUCUGUGCAAGGUUGCACCUCCAGGAAGUGACAAAGCCUUGACUUCACUUUCAUGCUCUUAACCCUUAGGAUGGGAGGCACCUCCCGGGGUCUGACUAGGAGCAGAGGGUCAUGUUUUGGAGCUCUUUUGGAAGUAGAAUUCCUGUUUGGUCUCAGUUUUCUUCUCUCUCAGAUGAAGGCAUUGUGGGAGGUGGGCUUCCAUGCAUCACCCCUAGUGAGGAACAUGCCAACAGAAGGCCCUCAAGGACCAAGAACAACAACAACAACAACAACAACAACAACAAAUGGCCUCCUGAACAUGUCCUUGGACGUGCCUCAAAAUCUUGCCUCCUGUCUUCCCUGUCUCCAUCUGCCUGUGCUUCCCACAUUGUAAGCCCCAGGAGGGAGGUGGGCUGUACUCACCUGUGCCUCACAUUGCCCAUGGCUCCUAGAAAGUUCUUGAAAAUGUCAGUUGAGCAAAUAAAUGAACGGACGACUCCCAUAGGGUUAUCUGUUACUUAUUCAUUGUGUUUCAUUC
rnacentral:lncRNA from 1 species